rnacentral:rRNA from 1 species
UACAGAGGGUGCUAGCGUUGUUCGGAAUUAUUGGGCGUAAAGCGCGUGUAGGCGGCCAAGCAAGUCGGGUGUGAAAGCCCUCAGCUUAACUGAGGAAGUGCGCCCGAAACUACAUGGCUUGAGUACCGGAGAGGGUGGCGGAAUUCCCGGUGUAGAGGUGAAAUUCGUAGAUAUCGGGAGGAACACCAGUGGCGAAGGCGGCCACCUGGACGGCUACUGACGCUGAGACGCGAAAGCGUGGGGAGCAAACAGGAUUAGAUACCCUGGUAGUCCACGCUGUAAACGAUGAGCGCUAGGUGUUGCGGGUGUUGACCCCUGCAGUGCCGAAGCUAACGCAUUAAGCGCUCCGCCUGGGAAGUACGGCCGCAAGGCUAAA